rnacentral:rRNA from 1 species
AUUGAACGCUAGCGGGAUGCUUUACACAUGCAAGUCGAACGGCAGCGCGGACUUCGGUCUGGCGGCGAGUGGCGAACGGGUGAGUAAUGUAUCGGAACGUGCCCAGUAGCGGGGGAUAACUACGCGAAAGCGUAGCUAAUACCGCAUACGCCCUACGGGGGAAAGCAGGGGAUCGUAAGACCUUGCACUAUUGGAGCGUCCGAUAUCGGAUUAGCUAGUUGGUGAGGUAACGGCUCACCAAGGCGACGAUCCGUAGCUGGUUUGAGAGGACGACCAGCCACACUGGGACUGAGACACGGCCCAGACUCCUACGGGAGGCAGCAGUGGGGAAUUUUGGACAAUGGGGGCAACCCUGAUCCAGCCAUCCCGCGUGUGCGAUGAAGGCCUUCGGGUUGUAAAGCACUUUUGGCAGGAAAGAAACGUCGCGGGCUAAUACCCCGUGGAACUGACGGUACCUGCAGAAUAAGCACCGGCUAACUACGUG